GGGGAGGUGGCUGAGAGGCUGAAAGCAGCAGACUGUAAAUCUGCCGUGUUCAUGACACCGCGGUGGUUCGAAUCCAUCCCUCCCCACCA
rnacentral:tRNA from 1 species